AUGAGGAUCACCAAACAAUGCAACCUUCCACUUUCUUUGGGUAAGCAUUAUCACUCAAAUGUGUUGUGUGAUGUGGUUGACAUGGAUGCCAGCCAUGUUCUUCUUGGGAGGCCUUGGCAAUUUGAUGUGGAUACUACACACAAGGGCAAGGAAAAUUCUUACUCUUUCAUUUGGAACAAGAGAAAGAUCAUUAUCUUACCAAACAAAACCGAAGGUAAUACCUCUAAGGAGGAGGGGAAAACUAUGUUAACUAUCUCCCAUAACUCUUAUGAGUUUAUGGAAGACUUGAAGGAGGCAGAUUUGUGUGAUGCACUUGUUGUAAAGGGAGAAGAGCACCUGACUGUUGAAAUUCCAGCAAAGGUACAUAGUUUAUUGGUAGAAUUUCAUAACAUACUUGGGGAGCCACAUGGCUUGCCACCGAUGAGAGGAAUUCAACACAGAUUUGACUUAAUUCCGGGAGCAAGUCUUCCUAAUAUUCCACACUAUCGAAUGAUCCCAAAGGAGCAUGAUAUAUUGAAGGAGAAAGUGGAGGAAUUGUUGCAAAAGGGGCACAUUCGAGAAAGUAUUAGCCCAUGUGCUAUACCAGCCCUACUCGCGCCAAAGAAAGAUGGAUCUUGGUGCAUGUGUACGGACAGUAGAGCCGUUAACAAGAUCACUGUAAGGUAUAGAUUCCUUAUUCCCCGUCUGGAUGAUAUGUUGGAUCAGCUUAGUGGAGCAAGAGUGUUCACAAAGCUAGAUUUAAGAAGUGGAUAUCAUCAAAUCCAUAUAAGACCCGGGGAUGAAUGGAAGACCGCCUUCAAGACAAAGGAAGGGUUGUUUGAAUGGCUAGUCAUGCCAUUUGGACUCUUAAAUGCACCAAGUAUCUUUAUGCACUUAAUGAAUCAAGUCGUUAGACCCUUCUUAUCCCACUUUGUUGUGGUCUAUUUCGAUGACAUCUUGAUCUAUAGCAAGGAUGAGGAUGAACACUUUGAUCACAUUCGGAAGGUGCUAGAAGUACUAAGGGGAAAUGAGCUCUACGUCAACUUGAAAAAAUGUAUUUUCCUGCAAAGACAACUUAUUUUCCUAGGAUUCGUCAUAACAUGUGACGGCAUUCGUGUUGAUGAUUCUAAGGUUGAAGCAAUCCGAGAAUGGCCAACUCCUAAGACCAUUUCUGAGUUAAGAAGCUUUCAUGGCCUUGCAACUUUCUAUAGGCAAUUUGUUAAGAAUUUCAGCACUAUCAUGGCACCAAUUACCGAGUGUUUUAAGAAAGGAAAGUUCCAAUGGGCAGAAGCAGCUGAAGCUAGCUUCAAUGAGAUUAAACAAAAGCUAUCACAAGCUCCUGUCUUGGUACUACCUGAUUUCAACAAGACUUUUGAGUUGGAGUGUGAUGCAAGUGGAGUAGGCAUUGGAGCUGUCCUAUCUCAAGAAAGUAAGCCCAUUGCUUUCUUUAGUGAGAAGUUAAGUGAAGCUAGACAGAAAUGGAGUACCUAUCAGCAAGAAUUAUACGCCAUUUUCAAAGCGUUGAAAACUUGGGAAGUCUAUUUGCUGCCUAAAGAGUUCAUUGUUUGUAGCAACCAUCAAUCCUUGAAGCAUUUUAGAAAUCAAAAGCAUGUUGACCGCAUGCUAGCAAGAUGGGCAUCAUAUCUGGAGAGGUUUAACUAUCUCAUCGUGCAUAAAUCUGGGAUAACUAACAGAGUGGCCAAUGCUUUGAGUCGCCGUGCAUGCCUCUUGACUUCUUUUGAAGCUGAACUUCCGGGCAUGGAUCAAAUAAAGGAGUUGUAUGAGGGUGACGAAGACUUUGGCCAUGUUUGGGUAAAGCACGCAAGGGGCCAACCAUUAGGUGAUGACUAUUUGAUGCAAGAUGGAUAUCUCUUGAAAAAUGAUCAUUUGUGCAUUCCAAGAAGUUCUCUACAUGACAAGCUGGUUAGAGAGCUCCAUUCAAGUGAUCUUAGUGGCCAUGUUGGACGGGACAAGACUAUCGCUAACCUGGAAGCUUGCUACUUUUGGCCACAACUAAAGAGAGAUGCUGGAAAGUUCGUUAAAUGGUGCCCCAUAUGUCAGACCUGCAAAGGCCAAGUCCAGAACACAGGGUUAUACAUGCCUUUGCCUGUUCCUGUUGCUCCAUGGGAGGACAUUUCUAUGGACUUCGUCUUGGGCUUGCCAAGAACAAGACGAGGAAGUGAUGCUAUAUUUCUAGUUGUGGAUAGAUUCUCUAAGAUGGCUCAUUUCAUCCCAUGCCGCAAGACAAUGGAUGCUCAUCAUGUGGCAAACCUAUUCUUUUGA
rnacentral:rRNA from 1 species